CUACGACGGGUACGGGUUGUGAGAGCAAGAGCCCGGAGAUGGAUUCUGAGACACGAAUCCAGGCCCUACGGGGUGCAGCAGGCGCGAAAACUUUACAAUGCCGGCAACGGCGAUAAGGGGACCUCGAGUGCCAGGUUACAAAUCUGGCUGUCGUGAUGCCUAAAAAGCAUUGCAUAGCAAGGGCCGGGCAAGACCGGUGCCAGCCGCCGCGGUAACACCGGCGGCUCGAGUGGUAACCGUUAUUAUUGGGUCUAAAGGGUCUGUAGCCGGCCGGAUAAGUCUCUUGAGAAAUCCAGCAGCUCAACUGUUGGGCUUUCAGGAGAUACUGUUCGGCUCGAGGCCGGGAGAGGUGAGAGGUACUUCAGGGGUAGGGGUGAAAUCUUGUAAUCCUUGAAGGACCACCAGUGGCGAAGGCGUCUCACCAGAACGGACCUGACGGCAAGGGACGAAAGCUAGGGGCACGAACCGGAUUAGAUACCCGGGUAGUCCUAGCCGUAAACGAUACUCGCUAGGUGUCGGCCACGGUGCGACCGUUGUCGGUGCCGUAGGGAAGCCGGAAGCGAGC
rnacentral:rRNA from 1 species